CCACACUCACUUGCGUAUUGUUCACACCUACUUUUACACUACCAUGGCACAGCUGAGUGGGCAGUCAGUCUUGGGCCUUGUGCAUUGGUGAUGAAAGGAAAGCAGGAGUCUUGAGGUGUUGCUGAUGGUUCCUGCCAAAGCCUGGAGACUUUGAGCUUCCUCUUGGACAGUGCAUGGAGGAGCCAGGGUGGGACAUAAGGCUAGGCAGGCCCCGGGGAAGUGUAUAUGAGGGGACCCUUCUGCAGAAGCAUACAGUGUGAGGGCAGGAAUGAUAAGGAAAUAACCCUGACUUGCUGAAGAGGACAGUAAGGAGAUCUGCCAGUCUUAACCUUGGCACCAGAUGGAAGAGAAUAAAAAAAGGUCAGAAGAGAAUUUGUAACGACAAGCUGGUUCUCUUAGAAUUUCGGUCCAAAUGUUUGUACCUUGUGCAGUUAAAAGCCUGAAACAGAGAAAUUUAGACCAGCCCUGGGUUGAUCAGGCCCCCAGGGAAAUGGCAGAAGCAAACUGAAAGCCUUUCAGGAGGAAUGCAUGCUUCUGGGAGACUGGAAAGAGAAUCUCUUUACUUCCAAGUAAACGAGCAUAGAAAGCUCAUAUUUUUUAAAAGGUGGGAGUGAGGCAUAAUAACUCAAGAUCAGUGGAAAAAUCUAUAUCAGAAAAGACUAUGAAGACCUUAGAUAUGAGAAUCAUCAGGUGCAAAGUAUAAAAUAGCCAUAUUUAAUGUGUUUAAGAAAAUAAAAGAAAUUUGAGAAUAUGAUUGAAAAAAAGACAUAAAGGAUGACCAAGCAAAUUUGAAAAAAUAGAAUUUCUAGAAGUGCCCAAGUAAUACUUGAAAGUAAAAAUUCAGCCAUGUAUUAAAUAUCAGAUUUUAGGUGAAGCUGAAGAGAGAACAGCUGAACUAGAAAGUAAAAUAACUAACCCACAGAUCAAAGGGCUAAAGACACAAAUGAGAGAGGUAACUAGAUGUGGAGGAUAGAGAGGAGGCUCUCACAGAAGCCCAGGCCCGGUUCUGGAGGGGACAGUGUCAAAGAGGCAACGUUUAAGGAGACAAUGGUUGAGAAUUUUCCAGAGUGGAUGAAAGCAGCCACAACUGAUUCUCAGAUUCAGGAAGCCCAAGCAAUCCCAAGCAGUUUAGAUGACAAGGAAUCUACCAAGACCAGUCCAGAAAGAUGCUGUUUACUUCUGUCCUACCUUUUCCGUCAUGUGAAGGCAUGUCUGAUGGAAGAAUACAAGUGACCUUCAGAAUUGUGGCUGCAACAGAGCUUGACAAAGGAGAAUACCAAAGAAAUGAAGGAGUAUCACUUCCAGGAUUAGGCUGCAGGACUGUGACUCCUGCUCUGCCUGCCUGUGCUCACUCUGUCCCACCGAACCGCCAUCUCCGGUAUCAAGCUGCCUGUGGUGAGCGACCCUGUGGCGAGGCCCAGGUGGCCAGAGCCUGCAGGAUUCCGCCGGCCUGACAGUGGACCUGUGAGUGAGUGCUGAGGCUCUGGGAGUGCGGCCCGGAGAUGACUUCGGCCUCCACCUGGCCGACAGCCCCGUGAGAGACCCUGUGUCCCUGAUCCACCGCAAAGGCGC
ensembl:lncRNA